rnacentral:rRNA from 1 species
GACGAACGCUGGCGGCGUGCUUAACACAUGCAAGUCGAACGGAAAGGCCUGCUUUCCCUUGUGGAUUGCGGGUACUCGAGUGGCGAACGGGUGAGUAACACGUGAGUGAUCUGCCCCCAACUUGGGUAUAAGCCUGGGAAACUGGGUCUAAUUCCCGAUAGGACUGCAGGGUGGUGCCUGUGGUGGAAAACGAUUUUCUAGUGGUUGGGGAUGAGCUCGCGGCCUAUCAGCUUGUUGGUGGGGUAAUGGCCUACCAAGGCGGCGACGGGUAGCCGGCCUGAGAGGGUGGACGGCCACAUUGGGACUGAGAUACGGCCCAGACUCCUACGGGAGGCAGCAGUGGGGAAUAUUGCACAAUGGGCGGAAACCUGAUGCAGCGACGCCGCGUGGGGGAUGACGGCCUUCGGGUUGUAAACUCCUUUCGACCGCGAGGAAGCCACCUGGUUGGAAGGGUGGUGACGGUAGUGGUAGAAGAAGCACCGGCUAACUACGUG